rnacentral:lncRNA from 1 species
CCUGGACGCUCUGGGCCCCCUGGUCUCCUACGUGCAGCCACCGCUGCUCCCCUCUAUGUUCUACGUGGGCCUGUUCUUCGUCAAUGUGCUGAUCCUCUACUACGCCUUCCUCAUGGAAUACAUCGUUCUCAAUGUGGGCCUCGUCUUUCUGCCCGAGGACUUGGACCAGGCGCUGGUGGACCUUGGUGUACUCUCAGACCCUGGCUCUGGCCUUUACGAUGCAGACUCAGAGCUCGACGUCUUCGAUGGAUAUUUGGAAUAAGGUCUUGAUUACUGUUCCCCACUUGCCUUCCGCCAUCCACAACUCUUGACCUGGACCAGCCGCCUGUAUCAUGCCGCUGCCACUGGCUGGGGGCACCAUCUGGACAGGGAUGGGACCCCAGGAAGAGGCCCGGCUCAUGAAAAUCUGCCUUGUUGAGAGAACAAAGUGUUGGACCUCCCUGCAUGGUGACUGGUCCAUGAACAUCAACCAUUGUUAUGACAGGUAAGUACAGUCUGGAAUCAUCUGCCCUCACCUGCCUUGUCCAUUAACAUUCAUGUCUCAUGACUAACAAAAUGGGAUCAGAGAACAUGUCCAUUGGUGUGUACACACACACACACACACACACACACACACACACACACACACACACACCAACCUAUUCCUGUCUUCCUGCCUAUCUGGGCCCUAGAGACUUUUAGAUCUCUGGGAAGUGGCCUCUGUGGUCUCUAUAGAGUGUUCACUGUGGCCCAGGGCAGUAGGAGAUAGUCUCCUUGCUUGCUGCGGGAGAGGACUGUGCGUGGCGUGGGAACCUUAGGGUGUGUGUGUGUGUAUCGGAGUUGGGGUGGGGGUUGCUGACAGCCCAUCUGCUAGGUUAGAGAGGCACCUUAACCUGGUUAAUCUAGAGUCAUGUAACAGGUAGCAGGUACCUACUGGACCCCCUUCCCUUGGCAUAUAAGGUACUGUAGAAGAGACACUGUCUCUGGCUUGGGAAGGGGAAUGAUGCCACCAGGGUCUGUGUGGCUGUGGAAUAAGGGUAACCAAUUCUUUGAUCUGGCUUACUCUCAGGCCUCAGAUGGCUCACCUGGGGACCGUGGCUGCUUUCUCAGCCUUCCUUGCCAGACUAUAGCCUUUCCCGUCAACAGAAUACCCAGCUGAGCAUGCUGCUGCCCAACCAUGCCCAUCCAUGGGUCACCCAUGUAUUCAGAUCCCAGCUGUGGGAGACCUACCCUGUGGGCCUGGAUCAGGGUGAGGGAAGAUGCAGAAUAACAGGCUAAGGCCAGAGGGUCUAGAGGUAUGGGGGUGGAUGGGCGCAUGCCCUGCUCUGACUCGAGACACAGAAGGGCCCCUGGUCACAAUGCUCCAGCCAUCCCUUUGGGAAGAAAAAGUCUCCCGGCCAGCUGAGGUGCCAAUGACCUCAUGUCUCCAGGCCAGCUGAGAUGCCAAUGACCUCAUGCCCCUGGCUCUGAGUUAGCACAGCCUGGAGGUUCCAGCCAGAAAAGUAGCCAUAUUACAGUCUCCUCUCAGCCCUGGGAUCUAUUUAGCUGAGCGAAAAACAGGAGGGCUUCUGCCAGAUAUUACUGCUGCGUUCAUCCUGGAACCUCUGAGAACACCAGCUGCAAUUGGGAAAUCAAAAUCACAUUGAAAGACAGACUUUUAUUUUUAUUUCUGAGACAGAAUCUCACUGCGUAGCUCUAAGUAGCCUCAAGUUCAGGAUCUUCUUGCUCCUGCCUCCGGACUGCUAACUCAGUAUGGCCAGUAAAGAAACUGAAGACUAGAAAGUGAGAAGCCCAGACACUGAAACCAAAUAAGAUGGUUGUGUCUCCCGCACAGCAAAGUGGCCACCAGGGAGCAGAAGAGCCUUCUGGGCCCACUUCAGCACAAGUCAUGACCUCUCCAGGCCCAUCUCAUCUACGCGAUCGCUCCUUUUAUCCCAAAUUCCUCCAAAAAAAAUCUCUCAGAGAAAUUUUAGAAUUCUACACUUCUCAGCAAAGUUAUAAAAAAAUAUAAAGUGCUCCCUUGUGCUCCCUUCAGCAGAACCUGCCAGCAUGUCAGUGUUUCUGCUCAUGUGCUCACAUUCUCCCCUGUAGAUACCUGUGCACGCACAUGAACACACACAUACACAUGUGGAUGGUCAUGUUCUAAACCAUUCGAGAGUGUACCACAGACAUGAUGUUCCUUUGUUCCUGAAUUUUUGGUCUGUAUUUUCCUAAAUCAGGAUGUACUUGACAUCUGUAGUGUCCUUGUCAAAGCCAGCAAAAGGUCCUUGUCUUUUGAGAUGGGGUCUGUUAUAACCAAGACUGGCCUAGAACUGACCCUCCUGCUCUAUCUCCUAAGCCCUGGAGCUGGGGCCAGCACGCCUGGCUGAGAUCAGCGGCUGGACAGGGACAGGACUUGGGCACUCUGUCCCGGGGAUGUCCUUUAAGGAUAAAAGUGCAGGAUUCGAGGUCACUGCUUUCUUUAUUCUGACCACUUGCUCAGCCUGUCUAUGUCUUGGUGUGACAUUAGCCCUGUGCAAGAGGCUGGUGUAGCAUUUGUGGGUUGUCUCUGCCUGGCGAAGCUCAGGUCCACCCGAGCUAGGAUUCCAUUCAGGUGAUAUGAUCAUGGCAGGAAGAGUGUGGUACAGCAUUCUGAGAACCAUGUGUCCCCUGUGGCAUGCUGGUCCCAUUAGCUUUGGUGAUGUGAGCCAGGUCUCUUCACUGCUUUUCCUUUUAGAGUUGAAGAUGAAUAAUGCCAGUUUUAGUGUUUCGUUUGUUUCAAAAAAUGAAUAAAAAAAUUUUUUUAAGUUGGGCACACCUUUAACCCCAGCACUCUGGAGGCAGAGGUAAGAUCUCUGAAUUCAAUGCCAGGCUGGUGUACAAAUCAAGUUUCAGGUCAGCCAGGGCUACACAUUGAAACGCUGUCUUUAAAACAACAACAACAAAUCCAAACAACUAAAGACCAGCAGCACAGAGACGUCUACUUUCGCAUGCGGACUUCGGCCCCAUACUCACUGUCUAGCCACCGAAGGGAGAGGGCUUCCUCUCUUGCUGCUUCCACCUCCCAAAGGCUGGGGCUGUGCUCUUGGCUCACUGCAUCCGCUUUAUGGGUGUAGAUGUGUACUACAGUGCCCAUGUAAGGGGAGGGAACCAGCACUUUGUGAGCACUAGGAAAGCACUCUACCGCUGAACUACAGCCCCAUGCCCUCUGGACUGUAUUUUACCUUAGGUGUUUCUGAGGAUCCAGCCCAGUGCUGCACACAUCCUAAGCACACACCCUAUUAGUGGGGGGGCACCCCAGACUGCUCUGGUCUAUUUUUAAAUGAAUGCUAUGUCACCAGGUGAAAGAAACCACCCUUUCUUAGUAUAGGUGAAAGUAAGUGUCAAAGUGUUGACUUCUGUGGUACUGGAGUACAAUAGUGAGAUGCCUGGAGGAACUGAAACAAGUCUGAAACAGAUGCCUUCGCCUAAAAUGGCGAGGGCUGGGACCUACUUGAUGUGUUGAGCUAGUACUACUAGAUGAAGUUUCCUAGCACCAACUUAGAACUUCUCUGAGAAGUAGUAAGACGUGACCAAGAGCAGCAGAGCAAUCUGUAUGUUUGGUAUGGAUGUGUGAUUAUUCCAGCCGCUCAUGUGACCCAGAAAGUUGUUUCCUAGAGUUUUGCAGUCACAAAGUUGGGGUUUAAACCCCAGUUCUACCAGUACUUUGGAUAAGUGACAUCACUUCCCCUAAGCCUCAGUUUCCUUAUCUGUAAAUUGGGAAUAAUGGAAUGUGCCUAGGGGCUUACAGUGAUUGAGUGGGUUCGUGAGUGAUGGUAGGUGAUUUGUUAAUGGUGUACAGCACCAUGUGAUGUGUUAGACCAGAGGCCCCUACCCCAGGAACCCCUCCCCUUUAUUGGGGUUCCUUGCUCUUCUGGGGCCAGUAACCAGAGGAGAGCAUCACCGUGGACUGCCUGUGAAGCAGACUGGGGUUGGCGAUACUUGGUACCCACUGAGAGUCCACUGAUGCUGAUGCCCUGCAACUCUCAUUCCGCAUCCCUAAAGGCCUCCUUCCCAGGCUUCCUGCGUAGAAGGGAGCUUGGCUGAGAGGUUAGAAUGGGGUGCCUCUCCCACAGAGCUUCCCCGCGUCACUUUGGGAUGGUCACUUGGUAGGCUUCAUUAGGUACUGAGGGAAACUGAGGCUUGGGGCAGUUUGGUGACUCACCUUAGAUGCCCAGCUAUGAGCCAUCCACAAUUUCUGAAGUGAGGUGCUAGACUGGAGGAGUCCCUGGGAGGUACCAGAGGAGGUAGGCUCACGGCGCCCUGGUCUUCUCUGGUUGUAGGUGUCCCUUCACUGUCUCCUUGGCAUUACUUCAUUACCUUUCUCAAAUUACAAAUGCUGGGUGUUUUUUAUAGUUAUGACAGAGGCAUGAAGAUCAUUAAUUUGAGGUCAGCCAAUAGUCGUAGUAAGGCCCUACAUCAAAACAAUAAUAAAUACUCUUGAAUUGGCCCAGGUGAAGUGGCUAGUACCACUGGUUUCAGCACUGGGGAGGCUGGGGCACCAGAGCUCGAGUCGGCCCAGGCUACACAGUGAAACUGUCUCAGAGAGGAAACAAAGGUUGCAGAAAGCUACUGUUGGGGCUUGUGAGGUGGCUCAGCAGGCAAAGGCACUGGCUGCUGCCAAUCAUAGUGACCUGAGUUAGAGCCCCAGGACCUACCCGGGAGAAGGAGAUCGGUCUCAUGAACACUGUCCUCAGACCUCCAUACCUAUGCCCUGGCACAUAGAUGGAAUCUAUUUUAGACUUGCUUCAGUUCCUCCAGGCAUCUCACUACUGUACUCCAGUAUCGUAGAAGCCAAAACACUGUGGUCUGGUCUGGGGGUUCUAGAGAAGGGACACUCAGCCUGCCUGAGUGAGUAGUGUCCAGGUAGUGUGUGACAGCUGCAGGAGCUCCUGGGCAGGCAGAUGCAGCCAAUGGGGAUGGCUGCAGACACACUAGAUGGCACAUAGUAAUGAGCAUGCACAGCCAUUGUGGGGGUGGAGUCCAGGCCUGAGCUGCCAGCUCUCACCCAGGAUUGGCCUGUGUGAAGAUAGGAAGCAUCUCUCCUCUUCUGUCCUUGCAGCUGCCAGGGAGGUGGCCAGAUUGCUACCACACCCUUGACCGUGGGCCAGGUAGCCUCCUGCUACCAGUCUGCCUCUAGCACAGCAAUCCCACAUAUAUGCAGAGCUGGGCAAGCAGUGCAUUGUGGGUAUGUGGAGAAAGUGAGAUGUAAGUCUGUGGCCCUGAGAAGGUAGUUUCUGCUUUCCCCCAACCACCUUACCCCCCCCUUUUUUUUGAACAUUUAUUCAUGUAUUCAGGGGUGGGCAUGGGUAUGCCAUGGUGCACAUGUGGAUGUCAGAGAGAAACUUGUAAAAGUUGGUGUUUUCCUUCCACCAUGUGCAUCCUGGGAUCAAACUAAGGAAGUCAGACUUGGCAGCAACUACCUGUAUCAGCUAAGCUACAUUCCUGGCCCCUGAAUUAUAUUGUAUAUGGUUGUUUUCUUUAAAUCAAUUUUUUAAAAUUAUUUAUUAUGCAUCUAUUCCUAUGUGAGUCCAUGUCCAUGUAGGGGACAGUGGAGGUCAUAAGAGAGCAUUGGAUUCUCUGGAACUGGAGUUAUAGGUAAUUCUAAACCACCAUGUGGGUACUGGGAACAGAACCUGGAUCCCCUGCAAGAUGCUCUGAACUACCAAACCAUUUCUCCAGUUCUUAAAGCAGCAUUUAAGAGGAACAAAAAAGCUUUAAAGGAGAGGAACUUGAGCGACAGGACCCUGGCCUCAUUGGCUAUCACUAGCAGACUCAGCAAGUGAUCUGGAAAUCGGCAGCACCCACUGAAACCUAGGUCAAGGCAUGGGCACAAGGACAGAGCUCCUGGGACAAAAGGCUGUCAGACCAGCAGCUGCUGUAGUCACAAGGACUGGCAGAAAGUGAGACCUCCUUGGUAGUUCCUACCCUAUCCCUGCCCCCGGCCGGGGCAUCCCUGCAGUACAUACCCAAGAGGGGGAAUCUCAGUGAAUUAUUGUGCUUCAGGCUUCUGAACAUGGCUUUCAAGACUUGCAUGUCUCCCCAAGGUUCGUUGGAAGGAAGAGCAGCCCCAAGUAGGCUCUGGUAUGAAGGGACAAGAGUUCCCAAAGGCCUUUCUAGAAGCCCCAAUAUACCUACAGCCCCUGCUUCCCAUAGGCUCUGUGGACAGGUGGGAGGGGACCAACAGGUGGAGGCCUUGUCUGUGGUGGGGUCAGUGGGAACCACAGAAGGUUCCUGAUAUGGUGGAGUGGAUUCCCAGUUGACCUCUAGCAGAUAAGUCUGGUAGAGAAUGGGAGAACGUUUCAGCACACAGCUCCCACCCUGCUAUGUUCAGAACUCCAGGGGACUAGUCUUCCUGUGGGGUGCCCUUCCAGUGCAGCACAGCCCUGUGUGGACCUCCAGCGGUGCUCACAGCCUUGUCCCAUCUUUGGGAGGGUGACUCCAAGCUAAAGUUGCUCACAACUUGGCAUAGUACUUGGCUCCAGUCUUCCAGUUGGGGCCCAGCAUAAAAACACUGGCAUACAAAAUGGGAACAGGAACUGGUGGUGCACAGCACUUGUUCUGUUUGUGGAAACACACUUAUACUAGAUGGUCUAGCCUGGCCUCAAGCUCAGUCUUACCCUGUAGCCCAGGCUGGCCUCCAACGUGCCUUUCCCUGACCUUAGCUUCCUAGUUCUGGAAACACAGCCACGGCGCCACAGCUAGGCAGAUUUCAGUACUUCUGAGCUGAGCAUCUUUCAUUGAGCAUCUUAUGCUUUCUAAGCCUUGAUGUCUUUAUCUGUCCAACAGGCAACAUCAACUCAUGGGCUGGUAGGGAGGGUGGAGAUACCCAUGAGCCCUUGGGCUUAUUUGGGAGGAGAUCUCAGGAAUUCCAUGUGGAAAGUGGGAAGUGAGGCCAGCAAGACAGACCAGGUGGGCACUGAGCAGACUGCCACUGUAGUCUGGGGCUCAGUCCUGCUCAGAAUCCCCAGGAUCCAGAAUCCCCAGGGGCUGGGGUGUUAGUAGUCACAGUGGAAAGCAGUUUGCUGUGGAGGUCAUUGACUCUCUUGUUCUUAUAACUGGGACCCAGUCAUUCUCUGGAAAUAGGACAAAGGUCUCGGGAUCAGAGUGCCCAGGGCUGGGGAAGGUAGGUGGAAGGGAUAUGUUGCAUGACAAGAGUGCCGGGUGCAGUGGCAACCCUGUUUGUGAUUGUCUCCAUUUGUUACCAGUUCAGUGCCAGCUCUGCCUGCACUACUUGUGCAACUGCUUCUUUAAGCCUCUGUUUUGCAAUCUGUAAAAUGGGGAGAGGCACAGUUCCUGGUGGAAAUGGUUAUGCCUGAUUAGUGGCUCUUGGAAAUAGGUGGGGGACAGUUUUGGCAGCCAAGGUUGACUGGAGGUGCUACCGGCUUUUGCUGGUUGGGGGCUAGAGCUACUGCUAAAUCUGAUGCCAAUGGUUGCUCUCACAUACCCCUGAAUAGCAUUCCACAGGGUACACUGCAUGUUUCACAGAGAUUAUCCCGCGGGAUGCACGUGGUGUUUAUAGAGGGAAGAGUCUGAGGUGGGCUGAAAGGAGGGGGACCUGGGAACCCCACUUUUCAGAGAUGCUGAUGACAGCUAAACACAGGAUUGAGGGGACUGGAGGAGAUAACCUGACAUGGGACCAGGACUUGCAAGUGAUGAUGUGUCAUGGAAAGAAGAGGCAAGUGGGGACACAAAGUUGACUGGCUACCUUCCUGUAAGCACAGUACUUUCCCAGGGAGAUGUGAGGCACUGCCCACUCUCUGGAGCUUACUCAGCUGCCCCCACUUGAUCUCCCUUAUGGCUGAGAUCCGUCUCUGACUAGCAUCUUUUUCCUCAACCUGAACACCUGGCCAGCCCUCCUUUACCAUGGAAAACUACUGGGUUCUCCAGAACCACAGAAGUGAAGCAAAUUCCUUAAUAAGAACUGGAGACAAACACCCUCAGGAGCUGGGCACGCAGCUCAGUGGGUAGAAGGUUUCCUCAGCAUGUAUUCCACCCGACCCUGAGUUCCAAGUUCCAUUUCCAGCAGUGCCUAAUUGCCCAGCACUUGGAAGGUGGAGGCAGACGAAUCAGAAGUUGAAGGCUAUCCUGGGCUACCAACCUGAGACCCUGCCUCAAAAACAAAAAGUCAGCAGGAAAUGACAGAAAUAGGGUGGGAGAGGAGGCUCAAGAGGACCUUGUGCUAAGGUGCUCUUGGUGGUUAAUGGUUAAUGGCUGCUGGCAGAGUGGGAGUUAUUUUCUCCAUCGUGUGUAGCUUCUAGUCAGUUUCCUGUGUUCCCUCAAAUAAUUCCUCAACCAUGGUCAUGCGGGCAACCCCAGUUAAACUCAGUCAUCAUGAAAGAGGCGGUAAAGUGGAAAGCAAGAGGAGAGAGGAAAGCCAGUAUGAAAGAGAAACGAGGGGAAAUGUCCUGCUACAGUAUAUACACAUGUGAACUUGUCAAAGAAUUAAAAUCACUUUUAAGGGGCCGGAAAGACGGCUCCACAGCCGAGGGUACUGACUGCUCUUCCUGGGUUUAAUUCCCAGCAACCCAACAGCAACUCAACAUCUGUCUGUACCUACAAGAUCUGACACCCUCACACAAGCAUACCUGCAGACAAAACACAAGUGCACAUAAAAAUAAGCUUUAGGAAAUUAAGAAAUUAUUUUUAAAAGAGGGAGGAAGGAGCCCCAUCCUGAGCAAGGGACUCCGGAGAGUCUAGAACAUGAGGAGGAGAGCAAGGCUUCCCUGCCCCCGCCUGAACUGUAGGGAGACGGCCCUGCAGAGGUGCCCUGGCCCUGCUGAUGACUGUCCUUUGUCUUCUUGGUUAGGCCUGCUCGUGCCAACAACCAGGUUCCUGCCCCAACCCAGGCGUCUGCCAGGAGAAGUGAGGACUCAGUGCCGAGAUGGGGAGUUGCCAGAUCCUCCGAACGCCUCGCCUGCCACCCAGCUCUCCGCUGCUCUGGACCUGGCUUGUGACUUGCCACCUUUGUGAUGGAUGUUUACAGGAACCCAACCAGACGUCACCCACAGCCGCACCUGCCUCCCCCACUCAACCUCCGGGAAGGACACGGAGAGCUGAGGUGGCAAACGGACUCAUGCUUAGGCUUUUCCCGUCAGCAUUGUUUGAUGCUGGUUGACCUUAAGCCUGGGAAGACUUCAGACCCAAGACUGUUGAUCAUAGUUUCAGGGUGUCACUCUGGAGGGCUAUGCCAGGGCCCAGGACAGGGUUUAACUUCUCCAGGUUGACAGAACUGAGAUACUGCACUGGGGAAGGCCAUGCUGUGUCUGGCUAGAAAUCUAUUUUUGGAAGUGUGAGUGGUGUGUAAAGUGUGAAUGGUGUAGAUCCUUGAAUUUCCAUAAACCUGUAAAAGCAAUACCUAGAGGCUGACUUAUUUCAUUAAAAAAAAAAUGUAAGC